CAGAGGGUGCAAGCGUUGCUCGGAAUCAUUGGGCGUAAAGGGUAGGUAGGUGGUCUCGUUUGUCUGGGGUGAAAGCCCAGGGCUUAACCCUGGAAGUGCCCCAGAAACGGCGAGACUAGAGUCUUGGAGAGGGUCGUGGAAUUCCCGGUGUAGCGGUGAAAUGCGUAGAGAUCGGGAGGAACACCAGAGGCGAAGGCGGCGACCUGGACAAGUACUGACACUCAACUACGAAAGCGUGGGGAGCAAACAGGAUUAGAUACCCUGGUAGUCCACGCUGUAAACGAUGGGUACUAGGUUUGAUGGGUCUUGACCCCCGUCGAACCGGCGCUAACGCAAUAAGUACCCCGCCUGGGAAGUACGGUCGCAAGACUA
rnacentral:rRNA from 1 species